AACGCUGGAGGUCUUGGGACAGACAUACUUCUACUACACUACACAUAACACCCUCGCCGUCUCAUUAUCGCUGGUUGAUCGUAAACGCACCGUGGGCCGAUAUGACGAGGGUCGCGGGUGGAGUCGUAGGAGUCUGAUGGAAGUUUGGAAGCUUGGAAGCUUGGUAUGGAUGGCGUGAUCUGCCGAAGCAUGGAUGAAGAACGGAUGGAAGAGCAGAACAGACAUGGAAAUCCUGUUGGUUUCCUUGCAGCUUGGCCUGUGUUUGGUAAUUGAUUGAGCUCGGUUCCUGGUUCCUGGUUUGUGUUGUAUUAGAGUUUCCCGGAGAGAUACGCGACGGUUUUACCAAGUAAGCUUCCUUUUUGUGUAUUGUUAGGGG
rnacentral:sRNA from 1 species